rnacentral:rRNA from 1 species
CCCUUAGAUGUCCGGGGCCGCACGCGCGCUACACUGAAGGAAUCAGCGUGGCUUUCUCCCUGACCCGAAAGGGUUGGGAAACCCGUUGAAUCUCCUUCGUGAUAGGGAUUGGGGCUUGAAAUUGUUCCCCAUGAACGAGGAAUUCCCAGUAAGCGCGAGUCAUAAGCUCGCGUUGAUUACGUCCCUGCCCUUUGUACACACCGCCCGUCGCUACUACCGAUUGAACGGUUUAGUGAGGGCCUCGGAUUGGUCUCGGCCCGCUCUUUACCGGGCGGCGCCGUUGGUCGAGAAGACGCUCGAACUUGAUCGUUUAGUGGAAGUAAAAGUCGUAACA